UGAGCUGCCUUAGAGCCCGAGGAGUCGGGGAAGCGGCCACCCUUACAACCACCAGAGGGCGCAGGUGCGCAGAAGCCUGCCUGGCCCUGGGAUCUGCCAGGGGAGCCUCCUGCCUGCUUCUUGCGGGACGGCCCCUCCCUGCAGCCGUGGAUGUGAGGGGUCCUCUACCGGGCACAAGGACGCCAGCUUCUCACCCAGCAGAUCCAGCCACACCCGCCCUCCUCUGUUCCUCCAACCUGAGCCUUUCCCACCUCAGGGCCUUGGCCCUUGUGGUUCCAUCUGCCAGACACGCCAUCCCCUGGCUACACCCAAGGCCGACUCUGUCUCCUCCUCCUGGACUCAGCUCAGAUGCCACCUUCUCGCGAGACGCCUUCCCCAUCCCUGGUCUAAAGUGGGCCCCCUGCUAGUCCCAGUCUCGCCCGCUUUUCCCCCUUAGGUCAAUUUGUAAUUAUUUCAUGUAUUGUUUAUUUCAUCUUGUUCUGAUUCUCUCAACAGAUGAUAAGCUGCUGGAGAAGCAGGGGUCUCUUAUUGCCUGGAGCCAAGUGCAGUGCCUGACACAUAGUAGGCCCACAGUAAAUAAUGAUUGCACGGAUAAAUAUAUUUUUAUGCAAGUCAAACCGCUUGAAAGCAAUUACCCAGGAGAGCACACCUUAGGAGGACUAUUUGAAUCCUGCUACUGUGAGCAACAUUACUUAACCAGAGAUUGCCCACCAAAGAUGAAACAUUUACUCCACGAUCUCAGAGACAACGUGGAAAAAGUUAUCCUACACCUGGUAGAAAGUCAGGUAAGCCUGAGAAAAAUAUUUUUGCCUUGGGCAUCCUUGAGUCUGAGGGUCGGGGCAUAUGUAAUGGCAGCCCAGCAAAGAGUUUCAAACCCUGGGUUUUAGAACCUGAAAGAUCUCCACUAAAAAUUUCAGUUUUUCCAUCUACUGGCUGUGUGUCCUUGGGCAAGUGACUUAGCCUCACUGAGUCUAGGGUUCCCCAUCUGUAGCAUGGGAAACAUUAUGGUCCACAGCUCAUGGAGUUGUCACAGGGAUUCAGAGAGACACGCAUGGAAUGUGGUUGGCGAUCAAUACAAGGGAGCACUCUUGCCAUGAUUGCUUGUGGAAAUCCAGUGGAGUCUAAGCUUCUAGCCACAGGCCUCUAGCCUUCUUUUCCCGGUCUCUGGUCUGACCCUUCUGUCUGUGCUGCUGGCCCAGGUGUGUCCUCUGACCGGUGAAGUCCUCAGGCAGCUGGAUGUGAAACUGUUGAAAAGCCUCAUGGGUGAGUCUGUGUCCAUCCAGGGAGGCGGACUCAGGACUGGAAGAUGGCUGGAGGAGGUGCCCCCACGGAGCUCCCAGCGAGGCCUGCUCAGGGGGGUCUGCAUGUGCUCUGAGAUCUCUUAGAGGUGACCAUAUCAUGAUGACCAUUACUGUCCUGUGAGAAAGCUGGGACAGCAGAGGGGAUCCCUACCAAGCCGGCUGUGUCCCACCAAGUCACUCACACCUACCUCUCACCAGAGCUUGUGGCUUCUCCCAAGAUUUCCACUCAAUCCUUUAGGGAGCACUGGCCCCACCCCAGACUGAGACCAUGCCCCUUGAGUUGCAGAUAAACAGAUACGGUCCCCGCCCUCACGGCGCUCACAGUCUCUAGAAUGGAAGACAGCAAGGAGCGCAUCACUAGCUAUCACUUGGAAAGAGUUCUAACACAAAUGCUCCUGGCACUGGCCCUUGGUCGGCAUGGGUGGAUGAGGGUCCCCGUCAGUGUGGACGUGGGAUUUGGAGGGACAGACAUGCAGCUGACUGACACCGCCUCUUCUUCUUAUAGAACAGGCUGCUGCUCAGGAACUCAACCAACUGUGAAUCAGCCAACCCCCCCCCCCCCCACACACACACACACCAGACUUAGUGUCCUCCAGCGAUGCACUGAUGAUCAGAAGGAGAUUCCACACCUUGGGACCUUACGCCUUCCUUAGAGUGGGGCUUCCACUGCCCCAAAAACCUUUACCACAGACCCUGUGGACAUCCUGUCCUCACCCAUAAUAAAUUCUAGUUAUGAAGGUGCA
rnacentral:lncRNA from 1 species